rnacentral:rRNA from 9 species
AAAUUGAAGAGUUUGAUCAUGGCUCAGAUUGAACGCUGGCGGCAGGCCUAACACAUGCAAGUCGAACGGUAGCACAGAGAGCUUGCUCUCGGGUGACGAGUGGCGGACGGGU